rnacentral:rRNA from 1 species
UACGUAGGGUGCAAGCGUUGUCCGGAAUUAUUGGGCGUAAAGAGCUCGUAGGCGGUUUGUCGCGUCUGCUGUGAAAACUGGAGGCUCAACCUCCAGCCUGCAGUGGGUACGGGCAGACUAGAGUGCGGUAGGGGAGACUGGAAUUCCUGGUGUAGCGGUGAAAUGCGCAGAUAUCAGGAGGAACACCGGUGGCGAAGGCGGGUCUCUGGGCCGUAACUGACGCUGGAGGAGCGAAAGCGUGGGGAGCGAACAGG